GCAGGAUGGCUUUUAAGAGGUAUCCAUGUGUUGAACUACAGUCUUCGGCUCAACAUUUAAGUAUGAGCAUCCCAGGAAUACUUCAAGAGUGGGUGGUGCCCCAUCUCCUCCUCCCUUUUCUCCCCAGGAUUUGGUAAUUUUCCUGCAGGAAAAUGUGUCUCCUUUUCACCCCACUCUUCCUAGGUGGCUCUGCGGUGAUAGGCAGCCCAGUGGGCAGCUUCAGGUGUUUCUUAAAUUGUUCCUUUCUCACAGCCUGAAAAUUUGCAUACUGAGUUGAGCGUUGAAGUCUAGUGAGGAAGUUCAGAUGGGGAAGUAGGGUGAUAGUUAAAUAUUGAUGAAACCACUAUGUUUCUACUUCCCAGCUUGAGGGAGCUUAACCGUUUGACUUUCUGCUCUGGCAAACUUUGAACUCCUCCUGAGGAGGAGACACCCCUGGGAAGGAAGUGGGUGCUUGGUCUACCUGUUACCCUCUUACGGCCUUCUGGAAUGUGAGUUUUGCAGGCUCCUCCCUCCUCUUUAGCUAGAAACUCAGCACUCCCUGAUGCUAUCUCAUGCUGUUAGUGGGAUUGUCACUUAAUUAUUUUUCUGGUUGCUUUGUGUGAGCACUCACUCUUUGUUGGGAAGCUGGAAGAAUCCAAAGCUGAGUCUGGAAUUGUUCUGGGAUCCAUCUUUCUUCUGUGUUUUCGGGAGAUUGACCUUUUACAUUGUAGCACUGUGUCCUCUCCUUUGCAGUUCUUGGUAAACUUAAUACUCAAAUGCAGUCUUUUUCUUUGCCGGUUUUUUUGGUGGUGGUAGCAAUACACACGACAUGAAACUUACUAUAUGAGCCAUUUUUAUAUAGUUCUUCUUAUCUGUUUUUAAUAGGUCUCUCCUAACUUAUCCUGUUUUUUCCAUCUUUUUUUUUUUUUUUUCUGGUCUAAAAAUUGAGGCAUAUUACUGAAAAAGUGAGUGGGCUUUAAAACAGCAGUUCUGAUUCUGGCUUUAUACCCAAUUCCUGGUCCCUGGAGGAGUUAGAAUGCCUGGCUGUUGUGUGGCUCUCCUGUUUGUGGGGUCUGGUGGACAGCACAACGGCCUUUAUCACCUUUGGUUUAGAUUUACUUUCUUGCUGAUUACCUUUCUCUCUCCUUCACAUUAGAGCACACACUCAUAGGGGAGAGGCAAAUAGCCCUUUGCUCUGAGUUCCUCGUGUAGACUCCACCUUUGUUUGCUCUGGGGCAGAUAGUGGUGCUCCCUUCCCCCAGCUUGCCUCCCCCCCGGGUGAAUUUGAAGUGCUGGAGGACAGUGGGUCUCCCUGGGUGAACAUUUGUGAACAAGGUGAUACCGAGCAGCCCUUUGCUCACAGGCUCACUCCUGACUUUUCCAUUACUGGUUUUCUUUGAAUUUCAUCUCUGGCUUUUUUCUAAAAAGAGAAACUCCAGAGUGGCAGAAUGCCAGAUUUAGGCUAAUCCCCUUCUGUCCUUGGCCCUGAUCUGCCUCGGAGCACCAGUGCCCUGUCAGUUCUGUGCCUGGAGGUGUAUAGUGUGCUUGGGGACUCUUCCGUGUGGAGGAUGGUAAUGUUUAAGCCAAAGUCAUUUCAUGGAGAAUGCUGUGAUCGGCCCGUUGACUAACAUGAACAAAUUGCUGCUGUGACCCUCCACCUCCCUUGGGAUCUCUACUUCUUGGACCAUGGAGAGUCCGAUUAUUACCUAAAGGAAAGCCUUUAGAAUGUAUCCUCUGGGGGGGCAGAGGUGGGUGGGCUGAAAGUUCAAAACUGUUUCUGGAUAUGCCAACCCUAGGGUGGUUGGAAUAGCAUAAAGUUUAUUUUUCCCAUCCUGACUUGCAGGAGUUAGUCCCAGCCAGCGUCUUGCAGGACGGAUUGAUCUGGAAGGGACAGGCAUUGCACACAGAUUCUGUCUUGAAGCAGAAGUCUUCCCUUAUUCCCUUAGACAUAGUCAUAGAUGUUGAUUCUGCAAACUUCUGUUUCAUUGUAGAGAGAACUGAUCCUCUGUAGAAGGAG